AGGAUUUAAGUUAAAAAAGGAAACUUUUAACCUUCAAAGUUAAAUAUAGGAAUCUCCUAAGCCUUA
rnacentral:tRNA from 1 species